rnacentral:rRNA from 1 species
UACGGAGGGUGCAAGCGUUGCUCGGAAUUAUUGGGCGUAAAGGGUAGGUAGGUGGUCUCAUUUGUCUGGGGUGAAAUCCUUGGGCUUAACUCAAGAAGUGCCCCAGAAACGGUGAGACUAGAGUGCUGGAGAGGGUCGUGGAAUUCCCGGUGUAGCGGUGAAAUGCGUAGAGAUCGGGAGGAACACCAGAGGCGAAGGCGGCGACCUGGACAGCUACUGACACUCAACUACGAAAGCGUGGGGAGCAAACAGG